GUGGGGAAUAUUGGGCAAUGGAGGCAACUCUGACCCAGCAACGCCGCGUGAGCGAUGAAGGUCUUCGGAUUGUAAAGCUCUUUAAGCGGGGACGAAGAAAGUGACUGUACCCGCAGAAUAAGCCUCGGCUAACUACGUGCCAGCAGCCGCGGUAAUACGUAGGAGGCAAGCGUUAUCCGGAAUGACUGGGCGUAAAGGGUGCGUAGGUGGUUUGGCAAGUUGGUAGCGUAAUCCCGGGGCUCAACCUCGGUGCUACUACCAAAACUGUUGAACUUGAGUGCAGGAGGGGUGAAUGGAAUUCCUAGUGUAGCGGUGGAAUGCGUAGAUAUUAGGAAGAACACCAGCGGCGAAGGCGAUUCACUGGACUGUAACUGACACUGAGGCACGAAAGCGUGGGGAGCAAACAGG
rnacentral:rRNA from 1 species